rnacentral:lncRNA from 1 species
CAGGAUCUAAGCCACAUCUAUGACCUACACCACAGCUUAAGGCACCUUGACCCACUGAGUGAGGCCCGGGAUCAAACCCGCAUCUUCAUGGAUACUCGUCAGGUUCAUUUCUGCUGCACCACAAGAGGAAAUCUGGAACCAUAUAUUUUCUACUUGGUCACUAAUAUGUCAAAUUAGUCUUCUAAUUUGACAACCAACUUCUAUUUACUCUGAUUCUGAACUGCUUUUCUGCUUCCACACAGGUAAAUUACACAAGUCCUUCCAUAUCCAUGAACCACUGGUCAUGUGUUACAUUCUGUCUAGACUUCCUAUAUUUGAGACAGAGCUAGCCUUCUCUACUUUGUGCCUUUAUAGCUCUUGAUAUACCAUUUCUACCUCUGCAGUCUUCACCCUUCUUUAAAGCCAUACACACCUCCACUGAUAAAAGUUCCUGAAAGGGGCCACAGUCCCUAUUAGUUCUCUAAAGAUCUGUUAUUAUUGCUAGAACAUAAAAUUAUUUUUUUAGGGAUAAAGAAUGAAUAAUGAAUCACAAAUGUUGUUUACCACAAUCUAAACUUUAAUAAGAAGGAAUCCUUCAUUAAAAUUUUGCUGUAAAUUUAGAUUGUGCCUUAUUGUGAUACCAUGAAAUUCAGCUUUAAUUUUUAAAAGCAUUUAUGUACUUCUCUACACCUUAUGUUGGCACGGAUAAUCCAGCUACUAGUCCAGGUAGUUGGAUUCUAUAGAAACAUUCAAAUGCAUAUAUCUAUCAUAGCUUCGCAGUUUCCUUAGGUCAUAGUUUCGAGUAAGCAACGGCUUUGUGAAACUUUCGACUUAGCUUAGGAUCUGGCUGAAGAUAAAAGAGUUUCCAUCUUUCACUCUCUAGCCACUAGGUAUGGUUGAAAGGCAGUUGCAGCUGCAGUAACACAAGGCAUCUUCCUUAGCUCUGCACAACUCAAGAGCAGACACCCUCCAAACUUUGCCCCAACAUACAUUGCAUUAAUCAGCUUAGUCUGACAUAACAAUACCAAAAAAUAGACUGGGCGGCUUAAACAACAGAAAUGUAUCUUCUUACAGUUCUGGAGACUGGAAGUCCAAGGUCAAGGUGCCAGCAGGGUCACUCCAGCAGCUCCUCCUCUUCUUAUAAGGGCACCAGCCCUACUGAAUUAGAGCCUCACCCUUACGACCUUAUUUAACCUCAGUUAUCUCCUAAAGAUCCUAUCUCUAAAUACAGUCACACUGGGGGUCUUUGAGUUGGAGGAUGGAGUUUGGGGCUUCAACAUAUACAUUUUGGGGACACAAUUCAGUCUAUAACAUACACACAUGUACUGAUUUUCUCCUACAUUUAUUUUCCUGAUGUGUCCAAUUAAGUUCUUGAUUUAAUUGGUCGAACACAAAGAACUUAACAGGACACACAUUUAAGUUUCACAAGAUACAUUUACCUUUGGGGCUCAGGGUCUGGCAUUCCCUUCACAUACAAUCUACCAUCCCCAACACAAGAUGCAUCCUUGCAUAUAAUAUGACUCAGGCUGAUAAUUUGAAAAGAAAAGAAACGAAGGAACCAUCACAAAUGCAGCUCACAAAAUUUUAGCAUUUGAAACUGCCAAAACUAGAGGAACUUGGCGAAGACAAAGACUUCCUUUAUAAUCUCUUAACAUUAGAACUCAAAGUGUGCUUCGAUUAGAUUCUAUGAUAUCUGGCACGCUAUCCGGUUAAUAGCAAGUUGAAAUGUUCCGGGCUGCUGAGUGGGUCAAAGGUUUCUGGGAAUUCAAGUGGUCUCUAAAUAAACAUAGCAGUAAAGUUUGUAAUAUAGUAGGGAGUUAGAAGGAAAAAUUUAAAUAGCAGUUUUGUCUAGGUCUACUUUUUUCCAUCUGUUCCUUUUAAAUAACAAUACUAGGCUUCAUAUUAUUACACCAAUUUUAUCUGGGUGAGUGAGGCAUCUGCUACAGCUGUCCUUUUAGUUUUGUGUUAUUAGGUAGGCAAAUAUUUCAUUAGUGCAAGGUAAGCUUUACACUGUAGUGCCAUUGCCUAUCUAUUGCUCUGAAAAAAAAAUCAAUAUGUAUUUUAAAUUACACAUAUAAUUGUUUUGUGUUUUGGUGCCUAAUUCCUCUCCUUGAAUGCAUGAAAAGAAUUAAAAUGUUCAAAUUGUUUCCUUUAAUUCCUUUCAUGCACUUUUGUGGGAGGAAUUAACCUCCACACUCUAAAAUGAUUGUAAGUGUAAUAUUAAAAAUGGAACAUCUCAUUUCCUUUUUAUUUCUGUUGUGGGGAUUGUAAACACCAGAGGUAUCUAAUGAAGACCUUACUUUUACAACAUCACAAAAUGAAAAAGGCACAUUGGAAAUACAACUAGAAGCUCGUCUUUCAGAUUAGUCCCUAGACCUACUGCAAUGCAUUGAUUUUUUUCCCCUUUUCUUGCUGCCUUUUUCUUACUUCAAACUUCUAGUGAAUUUAAUGUGACAAGGUGUCAACCAAGCAGCUGUAUAGAGGCCAGCAUCGAGCUACAACCUGAACUUUAUGAGGGUCCUUCAUUUUCUGGUUUUAAGCCUGGGGGUAAGAAUUAUGUGGUCUAAAGUCACUGAAUUCUGUCUACAAUGCAAGUCCACAAUAAAUGGUCUGAUCACUGCUUUCAUUAGUGGUGAUUCUCCAUCUUUUUAAGACCCUUCUCCUGUAGACUCACUGGCCAUUCAUUCUUUUCUUUUGGAGAGAAUAGGGGGUAGAAGUUUCUCAGUCUCAACAGGCCCAGUUGGUGCUUAUCAGAUUUAGACACUUUCAAAUGAAGUCUGAUGUACUUAUUCCACCUUAUAGGCAGUAAUUGUUUAAAGUUUAAAACUGUUUCCUAAAAAGUAUGUAUUGUAUUCCUAAAAAGUAUUGUUGACAUUAACUACCCAAUAUACAAUUCUAAGCACAUGGAUAAUCUUCCCAAUAGUUAUUUUGAUAGUAAUACACAGUUAAUACAUAGUUUGAUUAAUAAUAAAUCCAAGUAACAAAGCGAAGCAGAGUGAUUGCCUCCCUUUUAAGUUUUCAGCUUUAGUCUAUUGCAGAUUGAACUCUCAAUGAAUAUUCAUUCAACAAACGUGCUUUAAUAAUUAUGAAAUCGAGUGCUUCUAAUGAAUUUAUAUGCCAUGCAUGUUAAAUCUUAAAUCAUAUUUUUACUAAUCGACAUUUUAAAAAUGCAAAACAAACAGCAAACGUCACAUCUAGAAAACAAAGAAAACAUUCCUGCUUAACUUGCAAUCUUUCACACAGAAGACCAGUGUCCCUUCCAUGACAGGGCCUGAAGCAUUUUAGAUUUCAACAUGAUUUAGACAGAAACUCAGGCUUUAAAGAAUCCAUCUUGCAGUCCUCUGACAAAGUAAUUGGCUGGAAAAAUUAUAAUAAAAUUUUCAUAAAGUUCAUAUUCAUGAAGUGACAAAAAUUGCUUUUAGGAAAUUACGAUAUUAAUAAUUUACACUCAUGUCAAUAGCAUUUCUAAAAUAACUCAAGCUCUCUACCUUGAAAAUUAUGAAUCUACUUUGAUUUUUCUCCCACAUAAAGACAGUUAAAUACACCGAGACACACUGAGAUCUAGAUACAGAUUAUUCAUUUAAGAAGAUAGCUCCUUGUUUAAUUAGAGAUUUAUCAUUUUAACUAGCUGUACUAUUGCUCUGAAUUAGUUUUCCAGGGUUUGCAGAAUUAAAGAUGGUAAAAAUUGAUGAACCUUAGCUGAAUUUCCCCCCGAAGGGUACAAACUUUUAUUACAUUUCGGAUGCAAAACACAAUUAGCCUCUAACCUAACCAUGUUAAUCUCCUUGAGUUAAGCUUAUGUGUUUCUGCUUGUCUAGAAACUUUUAAUGAAAGAUCUAUGUCUUUUACAGCCUAUUUUAAUAACCUCUUUAUUUGCAUCUCUGCCCUUGUUUAGAGGAGGAGUUAAUACGAUAAGCUCCUGGAUUACAGAACGCUCUUUUAAAACUGAGGAUAAAUAAAAUUCUGCAACAUUCAAUUGGAGUAGCACUCAGCAGGAGAUGGACAUCAACAAUAAACAUUAUUCAAGUUCCAAAAGUUUCCAUGUAAUUAACUAAGAUGGAUACAUUAGUGUCAUCCAUUAUGUUCCAUUCUGUAAACUCCAGACUCCUGGCCAUUAAGCAGGGCCAUUUUGACAAGACUGAAUUUGAAAAAUUGAUUUACUUUAUGGAUAAAUAGUCCUUUAAAGGUGAUUUUUUUUUUCCUCCCAGCAGCAAAACUGCUGAAACUUAUCCUAACAUUUUCUAUAGCAUAUUCCCAAAUGCUCACUGACUCCCAAACUACAUUUUCUGCUGAGCAAAGGUUUUGGUUGGGUAAAUAUACCCUGUCACAAAAUGGGAAAUAAAUGGUCACUUGUGGAUUUCCUCACUCUGGGCUAGAAUUUAUGACAAAGUUACUUCCUUACCGCCAAUGAAAUGUUUGAAAACUAUUGUGGGCACUCUAGUUUUAUUUUGUAGGAAAGAUUUAUGUUAGGUAAAGAAGAAUAAGGAAAGAAAAGGAAAAAUCAGCAUCCUCCAUGUCCACAAUGAACUAUAAUGGUAAAAGUUGUUUUCUGUGGUCCAGAAUUUUAUAAAAUAUAGGAAUACAGUAACUUGAUUAACCUCUUUUUAUGCUGAUGGUUUAGCACAAUGUCAUUUUUUUUUUCAUGACCAGCAGUGUACAAUUAUUUCCUCAAAAUGUAAUCAAGACAUUGUAUCCUGAAAUUACAUUUAAAAAUGGAUUUGGGAGGUUAUUUAAUGGGAGUUUUUCCAUAAAUACCACACAUAGAAUUCUGAAACCUAGAAUCAUCAUAAUAUCUUCUGACAAACAGCAUCAUUUCUUUUCAGUCACUUACCACUGAGAUG